CAAGAUGGCCAUACCACCCUGAAUGUACCCAAUCUUGUCAGAAACUAAACAGAGUUGAAAUAGUUAGUACUUGAAAGAAGAUUAUGAAAUAAUCCCCUGUCUUUG
rnacentral:rRNA from 1 species